rnacentral:rRNA from 1 species
CCUACGGGAGGCAGCAGUGGGGAAUAUUGCACAAUGGGGGGAACCCUGAUGCAGCGACGCCGCGUGAGUGAUGAAGUAUUUCGGUAUGUAAAGCUCUAUCAGCAGGGAAGAAAAUGACGGUACCUGACUAAGAAGCCCCGGCUAACUACGUGCCAGCAGCCGCGGUAAUACGUAGGGGGCAAGCGUUAUCCGGAUUUACUGGGUGUAAGGGGAGCGUAGACGGCGGUGCAAGCCAGAUGUGAAAGGCGGGGGCGCAACCCCCGGACUGCCCUUGAAACUGUGCUGCUAGAGUGCCGGAGAGGUAGGCGGAAUUCCUAGUGUAGCGGUGAAAUGCGUAGAUAUUAGGAGGAACACCAGUGGCGAAGGCGGCCUGCUGGACUGUGACUGACGUUGAGGCUCGAAAGCGUGGGGAGCAAACAGGAUUAGAUACCCUGGUAGUC